GAGGGUAUAGCUCAACCGGCAGAGUGCAUGCUUAGCAUGCACGAGGUCCUGGGUUCAAUCCCCUGUACCCCUC
rfam:Camelus ferus unplaced genomic scaffold scaffold245, whole genome shotgun sequence.